GCGGAUGUAGUUCAACGGUUAGAACGUACGACUGUGGCUCGUAAGACGAGAGUUCAAUUCUCUCCUUCCGCU
rfam:Candidatus Pacearchaeota archaeon CG1_02_32_132 cg_0.2_sub10_scaffold_283_c, whole genome shotgun sequence.